CUAGCAUAUCAAUAAGCGGAGGAAAAGAAACCAACAGGGAUUGCCCUAGUAACGGCGAGUGAAGCGGCAACAGCUCAAAUUUGAAACCUGGCGCUUGCGUCCGGAUUGUAAUUUGUAGAGGAUGCUUCUGGGCAGCGGCCGUUCUAAGUUCCUUGGAACAGGACGUCAUAGAGGGUGAGAAUCCCGUAUGUGACCGGCGCGCACCCUCCACGUAGCUCCUUCGACGAGUCGAGUUGUUUGGGAAUGCAGCUCUAAAUGGGAGGUAAAUUUCUUCUAAAGCUAAAUAUUGGCCAGAGACCGAUAGCGCACAAGUAGAGUGAUCGAAAGAUGAAAAGCACUUUGGAAAGAGAGUUAAAAAGCACGUGAAAUUGUUGAAAGGGAAGCGCUUCCAACCAGACUCCGCGGCGGUGUUCCGCCGGUCUUCUGACCGGUCCACUCGCCGCCGUGGGGCCAACAUCGUCUGGGGCCGCCGGAUAAGACCGGAGGAAUGUAGCUCAUUGAGUGUUAUAGCCUCCGGUGAUGCGGCGCGUCCCGGGCGAGGUCCGCGCUUCGGCAAGGAUGUUGGCGUAAUGGUUGGCAGCGGCCCGUCUUGAAACACGGACCAAGGAGUCUAACAUCUAUGCGAGUGUUCGGGUGUCAAACCCCUACGCGUAAUGAAAGUGAACGGAGGUGGGAGCUUCGGCGCACCAUCGACCGAUCCUGAUGUCCUCGGAUGGAUUUGAGUAAGAGCAUAGCUGUUGGGACCCGAAAGAUGGUGAACUAUGCCUGAAUAGGGUGAAGCCAGAGGAAACUCUGGUGGAGGCUCGCAGCGGUUCUGACGUGCAAAUCGAUCGUCAAAUUUGGGUAUAGGGGCGAAAGACUAAUCGAUCCAUCUUGUCUGUC
rnacentral:rRNA from 2 species